CGCUAACAUUAGUCCGUUGGAAGAGCACGUGAUUACUUCGGCAAGACAGCGCGGGACAAUCGUGCGAACGAGCCAGAGAGAGAUCUAAGAGAGGCACUGGGAGAUAUCACCAUCGGAAAACCCUAGAUCCUGGUUUGCAUUAGGGUCGAUAGAUAAAUGGCGAAGCUUGAACCGUUGGUGGAACCGAAUCAGCAGAAGAAGAAGGUGAGGAAGGAUAGUGGGUCGACAAAGUUUUUCGUCUUCGUCGAUUACCUUUUCCUCCUUAUCUUCUUUGCUUUCCUCUGUUUCAUACUCUUCAAGAUGAUCGGCAUUUGAUUUUUACUUGAGGUAAUGAUGGUGCCACAUGUUUCCAUCCUAGAUACUACUGCUAUUUUUAAGGGAUUUAGAGGCAUUGGCUUGAUCAGGUUCAGAUUAUGUAAUCCUAGAUCCAUAUGCUUACCUUGGCUUUGGAGAAUCUUGUACCUUAAUGAUCAUUUUUAUUUUAUUUUAUGUGUUCACUGCUAUGAAACUUUAUAUUUUUUUUUGUGUUGAUCCUAAUAUGUGAUUUGUGAAAAAAAUGAUAGAGAUGGCCUGUUGAUUUUACAUGCUGUCUGAAUUUAAUUAGGGAAUCAUAUCCCUUUGUUCA